rnacentral:rRNA from 1 species
GGGCCCGCACAAGCAGUGGAGCAUGUGGUUUAAUUCGAUGCAACGCGAAGAACCUUACCAGGGUUUGACAUAUCACUUAUUUUAUAAUAAGGUUUUAAUGAAAGUUAAUUUUAGAUUACAGGUGGUGCAUGGCUGUCGUCAGCUCGUGUCGCGAGAUGUUGGGUUAAGUCCCGCAACGAGCGCAACCCACGUCGUUAGUUGCCAGCAUUUAGUUGGGCACUCUAGCGAGACCGCCGGUGAUAAACCCGGAGGAAGGUGUGGAUGACGUCAAGUCAUCAUGCCCCUUACAUCCUGGGCUACACACGUACUACAAUGCUACGGACAAAGGGCAGCAAACUCGCGAGAGCUAGCAAA